UACGUAGGGUGCAAGCGUUAAUCGGAAUUACUGGGCGUAAAGCGUGCGCAGGCGGCUUUGCAAGACAGAUGUGAAAUCCCCGGGCUCAACCUGGGAACUGCAUUUGUGACUGCAAGGCUGGAGUACGGUAGAGGGGGAUGGAAUUCCGCGUGUAGCAGUGAAAUGCGCAGAUAUCAGGAAGAACACCCGUGGCUAAGGCGGCUCUCUAGUACGGUACUGACGCUGAGACGCGAAAGCGUGGGGAGCGAACAGG
rnacentral:rRNA from 1 species